rnacentral:rRNA from 1 species
UACAGAGGGGGCAAGCGUUGUUCGGAAUUACUGGGCGUAAAGGGCGCGUAGGCGGCCUUCUAAGUCGAACGUGAAAUCCCCGGGCUCAACCCGGGAACUGCGUCCGAUACUGGAAGGCUUGAAUCCGGGAGAGGGAUGUGGAAUUCCAGGUGUAGCGGUGAAAUGCGUAGAUAUCUGGAGGAACACCGGUGGCGAAGGCGACAUCCUGGACUCGUCCUGACACUCAGGGGCGAAAGCGUGGGGAGCGAUCCGG